CUGAAACAGAAACUGACCCCUUCCAAGCUGAGACUUGAGAGAUUCACUGAAGUGGCUUCAAUGAACGCAGUCCUGCAGAGAUCCCCUCCAAGUACUGAAAGGAACAGUAAGGUCACUCUGAAGCCUUCUCCAGGCUGAACAUCUCCAGCUCUCCCAGCCUGUCUCCAGUGCAGAGGUGCACAGCCCUUGGCACAUCUUCAUGGCCACCUCUGGACUUGCUUCAGCAGCUCCACGCCCUUGUUACGCUGGGGGCCACCUGAAUGCAGCCCUGCAGGUGGAGUUUCAUGAGAGUGGAGCAGAGAGACAGGAUCCCCUUGCUUGCCCUGCUGGCCACACAUCUCCCACAGGACCAGAUUUCUACUUCUAAUACAGCCUGCUGUGUGUGGAUAAGGGGGCUGAGGCCCUGUGUCCAUACAAUGUGUGUGCACACUCUCUGCUUCACUGAGGCACUGGGCUGGGAGCUCUACACUUUAGCCCAGACACCAUGAAGGGCUUAAGCCUCACUCAAGUCAGGUGUAAUAUAAGCAAGUGCCUCAACUCA